UACGUAGGGGGCAAGCGUUGUCCGGAUUUAUUGGGCGUAAAGAGCGUGUAGGCGGCCAGGUAGGUCUGCUGUGAAAACUCGAGGCUUAACCUCGAGAUGUCGGCGGAAACCAUCUGGCUAGAGUCCGGAAGAGGAGAAUGGAAUUCCCGGUGUAGCGGUGAAAUGCGCAAAUAUCGGGAAGAACACCCGUGGCGAAGGCGGUUCUCUGGGACGGUACUGACGCUGAGACGCGAAAGCGUGGGGAGCGAACAGG
rnacentral:rRNA from 1 species